rnacentral:piRNA from 1 species
UCACUGAUUGUUAUGGUCUGACAGGAAAA